rnacentral:lncRNA from 1 species
CCACCACAACUUCAACAACAACCGCGAUACUAGAGGCUAUAGUGGCGCUUCUUCUCUCUAAAUACGCAACCACCGUCACCUUCAAAAACUCAACUCGAACCUGAAAAAAUUACCCAGAAACAGUGAUAGUAGAUCUGCAAGUUUUGAAGAAGGAGAAGCAAUUAAUGGGAGGAGGGUAGCAACUGAGAAUAGUGAGGAUGUAUUUUGAUGAAUUUGAUUUGGGAUAUUGGUAAUAGUGAGUGUAUGAAUAAUGGGUUGAUUUGAGAAUGAAAUCAUGUUGUUAUGUGAUUGUUGUUGUGUUGUUGUGGAUGCUGAUGCCAUGGAAGGGGGAAGGGGGAGAAGAAGCUGAGAUAAAUGCAGCAGAACAAGAAGAGGAAAUUAAUUAAAAAAAAAAAAGAAGAGGAGGAAAUUAAUAAAAAAAACAAAUAAUUUUUUUAAAAAACAAAUUUUUUUGCAGGGAUGGAUAUCAAUUUUUUUUUUACCAGGGUCCAAUAUCCAAAUGAGUCAUAUUUGCAGGGACCAAAAUCAUAUUUUAGUCAAAAAUAAAUUUAGAGUACAAAUACAAAAACACAAUCUAUUUCUCUCCUUAGUGAGAAGUGAGCGAGCUUUCAUCGUUGUGUUACUAAAAAUUGAGAGUUUUUCCCAUUAUUUAUCAAACUGGAGAGGUUGUCAUUAGUGAACGGAGGGGAAAGGUCAAACAAGUUAUGUUACACACGGUUCUUUUUUGGAUUCAAAUUCACAAUUUACCUGUGGGCUACAUGGCAGAGACAGUGGGACGAAAUGUAGGAAACUAUGUGGGAGACUUUUUGGAAUACGAUGAGAAGGACAGUUCUGACUUCAGAAGAUAUAUGCACAUCAAGAAGAAAGGGGUGGUGCCUGUCAUGGUAAACAUCAAGUAUGAACGCCUUGGUAUUUUUUGCUACUACUGCAGAUUGUUAGAGCAUGAUGAAGAUUCGUGUGAGAAAUUGACGAGGAAUCUAAAGACAAUAGUGUGAAAAAUUGGGGACCAAACAUCAAAGUUUAACGGAUGCCAAUCAAGGAGCGGUUUUGUUGGGAAACCCAAAUAGGAAAGAUAUGAUGGCGGGAUUACUUAAGGAACAAGCAAAACUGAAAACAAUAAAGAAGGAAAGAAUAUUCAAUUAUGCUCCAAUAAUUCAUGAGAAAUAGCAAGCGGCAAAAAAUACUUUAAUUUUAUAAUUAGUUAGGAGAUUAAUAAAUUAUUUUUUUGAAGGAAGGAGAUUAUCAUUUUAUGUUGGUAUUUUUUUUGUACCUAGUUAAUCAAAAAGUUUUUCUAAUUACACCCUGUUUAAUUCUGGUUGCACUCUAGAAUGACAAAAUUACACUUUCAUAAAAUUUAAUUUUCAAAAAGACUCUUCCUUUUUUCUUGGUUACACCCUAAAAUCCCUCUUCAGUUUAAGUAGAUCAUGUAAACUUAGUUUCAGUAGGUCAUGUAAACUGAGUUUAAGUGUACAUACUUAAACUUAGUUUAAGUAGGUCAUGUAAACCGAAUUUAAGUGUACAUUUAAAAGUUCAACAUUGUUCGAUGAUUCUACGUAAUCUCAGUUUAAGUAUGUACAUGUAAACUUAGUUUAAGUAGGUCAUGUAAACUAAGUUUAAGUGUACAUACUUAAACUCAGUUUAAGUAGAUCACGUAAACUUAGUUUAAGUAGCUCAUGUAAACUGAGUUUAAGUAUACAUACUUAAACUCAGUUUAAGUAGGUCAUGUAAACUCGGUUUAAGUAGGUCAUGUAAACUGAGUUUAAGUGUACAUCUAAAAGUUCAACAUUGUUAAAUGAUUAUACGUAAUAUCAGUUUAAGUAUGUACAUGUAAACUUAGUUUAAGUAGGUCAUGUAAACCGAGUUUAAGUGUACAUACUUAAACUCAGUUUAAAUAGGUUAUGUAAACUAAGUUUAAGUAGAUUAUGUAAACUAAGUUUACAUGAACCUACUUAAACUGAAUUUAAGUUAACCUCAACAAUGUAAAACUGAAACUGUCGUACAGUGCAGUUGAACAAGAAGAAGAAAAUUGAAACCAGCGUUAUUGAAAAAGAAGAAAAAAUUCACUUAUUUAUAUGCAAUCGGGUAUGAAUGAAAGAUGUUUUGAUUCACUCUUUAAUCUUCCAUAGAGAUUAAUUGAACAUCAGGAUUGUUUGAUCGUUGGUGGGUGAAAGAGAAUGAAAUUUUAGAGUGACAAUGGAUGAAAUCAAGAUUUUAAGAAAAUUUAUAUAAAAGAACAAUUUUGGUAUUAUCAAAUUGUUUUUAAAAAAAUAGGGUGUAACCAAAAAUAUAUAAGGUGUGAAUAGAAAAACUCUUAAUCAAAUUAGUUUUACUUCUAAAUGAAAAAUAAGUAUUUUUUUUUUGUCUGGAAAUCAAAUUGGUUUUAGUUGAAUAGUUUGUUCUUUCUCUUUCGUGAUUAGUUUUUGAUUCGUUUAUAUAUUUUGAUUUGAUAACAUUGUUAUCUAAUAUAAUCGUUUUGUAGAAAGCCACAAUAAUAGGAAUUUAAAAAGCCCAAUCAAUGAUAAAUAUCGUAACAAACUUUAAUAUAUCCAAAAAAACUAAUCAUAUAAUUUUUUUUAAGGAACUAAUCAUAUAAUUUGUUACGCUUUAUAAACCCCAAUUCUCUUAGAUAUAAGGAUAAUAUUAACCAGUGCCCCGGACACUAAUUAAGAAGUAAAUAUAGUAUGAAUUAGAAAUUGUGUUGUAUUGUCAAUCCCUAAAAGUUAAUAAAGUGUCUUUUUUAAUUUAAAAUUUUUCCUUUAUAGUUUUCAUAACUAGUGCCCCGCACCGGUUAACAUGACCCUAGUUAUAAAUACCCGUCUAUCUCUGACAAUAAAUAAAUAAAAAAUACCCAUCUCAAACAACAAAGCACUCACACAUAUUUUUGCUCGGCUUUAAUACUAUCUAUCGAUCUCAAACCUACGACAAAGCUAAACCUAAUUUGUUUCUUUUCUCUCCAAACCUAAACCUAAUAUAACUCUCUCCAAAGUUAAACCUAAUUUGUUUCUUUUCUCAUAUUAUUAUAUUACUCUUCAAAGGGCUCAAGAAAAUAAGUGUUGAACCGCUGGAAGCUUCAAUGUCAGGUGAAGGUUCAUCUCGCAGUCGCGGUAAACGCCCUCUUCCCGAAGACAAUGACGAUUCCACCAAAAAUCCACCAGCUAAGAGGGUUAGGUUUCCCAAGGGGAAGAAAGGGAAACCAGUUGAUGUAAUAGUGGAGAAAGUAUUUGCUGAGGAGGAUGUGAAUGAUUUGUCGAAUCCGGCUGUUGCUGCCAAAGAGCAGGUAAAACGGAGGAAUCAAAUUACUGCUGAGCUUUUUAGUGACGAAAAUGGAGGUAUUUCGAAGGUUGCUGAAGUUAUAUACAAGGAAAAUGAGAAUUUUGUUGAAGACGGAAUUCAGAUUGAGCCUUUCAACCUAGACAAAGAAAGGGAAGAAGGUUAUUUUGAUGCAUCCGAAAACUUUGUUGAAUAUGUCAGAGAUAAUGAGAUUAAGGAUGCAUGGCUUGAUAAUGUUGAGGUUGAUCCUAGAUAUGCUAGAUUAAGCUCCGCGGCAACAAAUGAUGAAGAGGAGGUCCAAGAGCUUUCUUCUAAAGAUGUGGCAAUCAUGAAGAGGCGCAUUGCCAAUGUUCUUGAACCAGAGGAAACAGUCUUGCAAGGUUUGAGAAGAUUAAAAGCUAUGAAACACGGAUGCGGACACCGGACACGAUACGCACACUGACACGCCGACACAUCUAAUAAUUUGAAAAAAUCACAUAAUUCAGUGUAAUUACAAGUGUCGGUGUCGGACACGGCACGGGACACACCUAAUCCGAGAAGUGUCUGUGCUUCAUAGGUUAAAAGGCAACGGUGAUAGAAAAACAAAAAUGUCUGGUGAGACUAAGAUUGUAUUUGACCAGCUAACUGAGUUUUUAAAAGUCACCUAAUAGGAUACAACAAUAUAUCCAAGCACUCCUAAAAAAGAGUAUUUAAGGUAAAGAGUAUUUAAGGUCUAAGUCAUAAAAGAGCUGUUAGAACUUUUUUUAAACUGAAAAAUACGCUUCAUUUGAUGCUUGGAGAGGAAGUGUGAAAAUUGUUCACUGAGAACGUUUUCCAGAACAUUCUCUCUGUCCAAAUCAUUCUCAAGAAUGAUUUCUUUGUUCCAACCUCAUUUGUGCAAAGAAUUUUAUUAUCCACAAUUUGCACAAUGCUCAAGGAUAUAGAAUUACUUUUUACCGAUUAUGAAGUGGUAGGAAAUGCUUGAGAUUUUACAAGUCAUGAUAGGGUAAAACUGAAUGGUGGGGUGAUAGAGAAAUACCAAGCGGAAAAAAAUACGUGAAUUUUAUAAUUAGUUUGGAGAUUAAUAUAUUUUUUUUCUUGAAGGAAGGAGAUUAUUAUAUUAUGUAUUUGUCCUUACCAACUAAGCUUAGUUUACGAGGACUUUUUAUACCUAGUUAAUCAAAUUGGUUUUACUUCUAAAAAUAAUUGGUUUUUUGGUCAAGAAAUCAAAUUGGUUUUACAUGAAUAGUUUGUUCUUUCUCUUUCCUGAUUAGUUUUUGAUUCGUUAUAUAUUUUGAUUUGAUAAUCAUUGUUAUCUAAUUAAUCAUUUUAAUUUUAGAAAGCCACAAUAAUAGGAAUUUUAAAAGCCCAAUCAAUAAUAAAUAUCGUACAAACUUUUUUUUUUUUUAGGGAAAAUAUCUUAACAAACUUAUAUAUAUAUAUAAUUGCAUGGUUCUCUUAGUUAUAAAUAUUUACCUGUAUUUUUUUUUUUUGAAACAGCCAAUAUAUUAAGCAAGGUUAGCACAAUGUUUACUUAACCCGCAAAGGAGGAAACAGCCAUAUGAAACAGCCAAUAUUACCUGUAUUUGUUUGUUACGGUUAAAAAAACCCAGUUCUCUUAGUUAUAAAUACCCACCUAUACAAACAACAUAGCACUCAGACUUAUAUUUGCUCGUUUUUUUAACACUAUCGACCUCAAACCUACGACAUCAAAGACAAAGUGAUUUUCCACCAACAAACUAAGAUGACCGGAACAACUAGGCCUAGCCACCAUCAAAUUUUCGACAUCGAAUGGGAGAUAAUUUCACAAUCAGAUAGUGAUGAUGAUGGCCGUCUCAAGCGAACCGGUACAAUACUAAGCUAGAUUCUUGAAGAGAUGUCCAAUAUAUAUAUAUCCAACGUUACCUCUUCACUUGAUUCGUACAAAAAAAAUCGAAAAAAAUCAGUUGCUAACAACAACCGACUUAGCGUACGAGUUUCUAAAUCAGUCGCUAACUCUAGCCUAUAAAAUCGUAACAGUGUUACUAAAGCAUCGGUUGAUAAUGUAAGCGAUCGAUUUAACAUUCUUGUCUCUAAAUAAAUUGGUCACUACAUCAUAGUUCUUUUAGAUAUGUUACUAAAUAUGAUAUAAUCAAUGUAUUUUUAUAACUGGCUUGAUUAAUUGAAAUGAUAUGCAUGGAAGUGUUUUGACUGCAAUUUCACACAUAAUAACAGCUGUGAUAGGAUCAGGGGUGUUGUCUUUAGCUUGGGCCAUAGCUCAGCUAGGUUGGGUUGCUGGUCCUGCUGUCAUGAUUUUAUUCUCUUUGGUUACAGCCUAUACUUAUUGUUAUCGCACCGGUGACCCUGAUUCCGGCAAGAGAAAAUAUACUUACAUGGACGCUGUUCGCUCCAUUCUUGGUAAUUAAAACUCAUUCUCUUUGAUUUUAUUUUAUUUUAUCUUACUUUUGAAUGAAAUGCAUUGAAUUCUUAUUCUAAAAGAACAUGUAAAAAUAUGCCCUUAUAUCAAUACAUGCGCGCGGGAUAACGUGGACUGAAAUGUAUUUUGCAGGUGGAGCAAAGGUUACGUUUUGUGGAAUAUUUCAGUACCUCAAUCUAUUUGGAAUUGUGAUAGGAUACACAAUUGCGGCUUCUAUUAGCAUGACGUGAGUUCACAUUUUUUUAUACUUUAUACAAGUAAUUUUUAACAACAUAAACAUGUUUAGGUCUUUUUAGGGAAGUACACAUUCUAAUAAUAGUGUUACAUCUUGUGCGUUUAUUUAUAUCAUUAUAUAUUUUGGUUUGUUCACAAGAAAAACAAUAAUAUUACAUACAAUCUCAAAUUAAUAUGUGGUAUGAUAGGAAAUUGGUUUAACUUCAGUUUCAUUGGUUGUUUGGUUAACAGGGCUAUCAAAAAAUCAAAUUGUUUCCAUCAACAUGGGGACAAAAGCCCAUGUCACAUGUCAAGCAACCUAUACAUGAUCAUGUUUGGUGUGAUACAAAUUUUCCUUUCACAAAUUCCAGAUUUUGAUCAAAUAUGGUGGCUCUCAUCAGUUGCUGCAUUCAUGUCUUUCACAUAUUCCUUAAUUGGUCUAGCUCUUGGAAUUGCCAAAGUUGCAGGUUAUAUUUUUGGACCCUUUAGUUAUAAUUUUUGUCUUUGGAUUUUUCAUCUACUAAUAGAGACUGAUAAUAAUAUGGUUGAUUUAUGAAAAGAAAAUGGUACUAUCUUGGGUAGCCCUAGCAGGAAUUGGCAUUGGAGCAGUUUCAGAUACUCAAAAGAUAUGGAGGAUUUCUCAAGCUCUUGGUAACAUAGCCUUUGCAUAUUCAUAUGCCGUGGUUCUCCUUGAAAUUCAGGUAUAACUUUCGACAAUUGAAUUGCUAUUAGGUGUUAGAUGUUGGAUGAAGAUCAAAUGAUUCAUAUUUCGAGUUUAUAUUUACUAAACAAACUUGAACUAAGUUCUGAGGUUACAAUAUGAAUCAUCUAAUCUCCAUUCAAUAGUCAAGACGGUUCAACUAGUUAAACUUUGAACCAAUAUUUAUUUAGAACAUUUGUGUGGGGACUUAUAUCAAUUUAAUAUUCUUAAUAUUUUAGGACACGUUGAAAUCCCCACCAUCUGAGGUAAAAUCAAUGAAGAAAAGAUAAGUAUUGCAGUGACCAAAAUAUUUUACAUGCUUUGUGGCUGCAUGGGAUAUGCAGCAUUUGGAGAUGCUGCACCUGGAAAUCUUCUAACUGGUUUUGGAUUCUACAAUCCAUAUUGGCUAAUAGACAUAGCAAAUGCAGCUAUUAAGAAUACCAAGUAUUUUCUCAACCAAUCUUUGUCUUUGUAGAGAAAAGUGCAACACAAAGAUGGCCCAACAUUGACAAAGAAUACAAAAUUCAACUUCCUUGCCUUCCACCUUACAAGUUGAACUUAUUCAGAUUGCUUUGGAGGACAGUGUUUGUUACCUUAACUAUCGAUGUUGCUUCCUUUCUUCAAUGACAUCGUUGGAGUGAUAGGUGCAUUGGGAUUUUGGCCUCUUGACAAUUUAUUUUCCUGUGGAGAUGUAUAUCUCACAGAAGAAAAUCCCAAAAUGGAGCAAUAAAUGGAUUUGCCUACAAAUAUUCAGCUUUGCUUGCCUUGUAGUAUGACUUGCUGCUGUUGUUGGAUCAAUUGCUGGAGUCUUGGUUGAUCUGAAGAAAUACAAACCAUUCCAAUCAAAUUAUUAAGCUUCUUUUAUUGGCAAUGUAAUGUACGAAACUCAUGUAUUGGCAACUACAUGAAUAUUAUUACAAUGGUUUUGGUUUGUAUGUACAAUUAUGUUGUAAAUUAACAAGUUGAAUUAUUAUGAUCCAUUAUCUUUCUCUCUUUUUAUGGAUAUACCAAUUUACUAUACUUACAUGCAGUACUCCUCUUUAUGCAUUGUGACCAUUGAAAUCUAGAGUACUUCAAUCUCAUACACAUUCUCAAAGAAAGUAAGGCGGAUAACUCAAUUAUAUAACUAGUGAAGUAAAAAAAUAAUUAAAUAAUUUUUAUCUAAUUAAAACUGACAUGUUUUAAUUUUAAUAUCUCCUUGAAUUAGAUAAAAGUAGUGUAUUUUUUAUUUUAAUUUUAACCUUUUCAGGGAGGAAAGCACGCAUUUUCUUUAUUGAGGAAACCACACAUUUGUAUUUUUUUUUUAAGUCUAAAACAAAAUUUAAAAAAGGUCAAAUGCAUCCAAAGGUCCUUUAAGUUUUUCAUUUUUCCGAAAGUCGUCAUUUAAGUUUCAAAAGUCUCAAACAAGUCCUUUAAGUUUCAAAAGUCCCAAACAAGUCCUUUUAGUUUUUGAAUCGUUUCAAACAAGUCCUUUUAGAUGAUAGCAACAAAGAGCAUUAUUCACCAUUUGUCAUGCCUAAAAAGAUGACUAAUUUUAAGUGGGUGUUAGAAGGCAGAUUUGGUACCAAAAAUGAGUUCAAGGAAGCAAUUACCAACUAUGCUAUCUACAAUAGGACUUGUUUGAAACGAUUCAAAAACUAAAAGGACUUGUUUGAGACUUUUGAAACUUAAAGGACGACUUUGGGAAAAAUGAAAAACUUAAAGGACCUUUAGAUGCAUUUGACCUUAAAAAAACUAUCUAAGUUUUUUAUCAAGGUAUAUAUUUAACCACUUUAUAGUUACAACUUGCUAAAAUACUCCUUUGAAAAAACGAGUGGGUCUACGUUAGUAAAUCCCUUCAAAUAAUUAACAAAAAUCAUCUAUAACAAUAUAAAAAUGGAAUACCUUUCAAAAAUAUAUAUAAAGUGAAUAAGGGAUUUUUGGCUGAAUUUUUCAUUUUUCUAAUUACACCUUUAAACAAAUUUGCAUAUAAUUAGAAUGUUAUAUUGAUGCUGUUAUAAAAAAAUAUAAGAAUUUAUAUUAUAUUUUCUUUAUUUUGGAAAUAAUAAAUUCAUAGCUUGUUACAAUUAGAAAGUUACAAACAUGUAUAACUUUAAUUUUAAUCAAAUUAAAAUAUUAUAAAAAAAUUGCUCAUAAUUUACACUCAUUACUCACGGACAUAUAAAACUUGAGAUGGGGUGUCCGUUUGAACGCUAAUUAUUGUGAAAAAAAUAUCAUUUAAACUAUCAACAAUCUUUUUUUAAGGAUCAUUUAAACUAUUAACAAUCCUUUUUAAAUAGCGAUGCUAAAAAAAAGGAUACAUGAUGUAUCGUAUCGUUUUCUACGGUUUUCCUUUUUCUACAAUGUUCUUAUUCUCUGUUUUUAUUAAGUUUUUCUUUAAGAAAUCAAAAUAAAAUAUAUUAAUCAAAUAAGUCCUUCCAAAAUGAGAUAUAUUAAUUUUUUAUUUAAAGUAAUUCAUUGUAUAGUUUACAUAUUACCAAUAGAAAUUUAUACAAGAAAAGAAUGCAGAUGGACAAGAAGUUGUGUCACUCCUUUCAAAAAAAAAAAAAAAAACAAGAAGAAGUUGUGUCACUAACCCCUUUUAAAUGAUCAAAUAAGUCAUUUUAAACUGAACAUACAUGUUACUUUCUGAAUGCACAGAACUAUAUGUUGGGCAAUGUUUGCAAAAUACCCACUUUUUCAUGUUACAUGCGGAAUACAACCGCGAGGGUAUUCCGCGGGAGUUUCUUUAACUCACCUCAUAUUUGCCACAACAUAUUAUACAUUUUAUAUCAAUAUAUUAUGUAUUUAUAAACAAACACACAUGAGUUACAUAGCAGAUUCAGGGAGAAGCAUGAUGCGUUUCAGACGGUAUAUAUAUAUAUAUGUUCGAUAAUAAAAGAGUCAGAUUGUAUAUGGACAAAUACAAUCGUUGGGGUGUACGUAUUGCAUGGUUUAUCAUUGACUAUAUAUUACUACCGACAUGUUAUGUUUAAUGUUCAGAAGUCAAUAUUUCCAAUAAAGAAUUUAUUAAGUUGACAAAUUCAUGGAAGCUGGAAGGAAAGAAGAAGAAGAAAAGAAGGCAAACUUGAAUUUACUCAGCAAUUUGGAAUGAUACAGCGAACAUAUCACUGCUCAAGUCAGUGCAAGGUCCACUCCCAGUUAAGAUGCUAUUCUACACGAAUGUAUUUGCAUGAGAUAAAUGUUUGAGGUGAUGUAAUGUUAGAGGGUGAAUGUUUAUGUAAAUUUUACUUAAUUGAUAAGGAUAUUGUAUUAUAUAUGUAGGUUAUAGUUUAAAUCUUCGAAACCCAACUUAUUUAUCAUAAAAGAUGAAUUAUUUCUAGUCACUAAGUUACCUUAACCAAAAAAAUUGUUAGAAGGUAAAUAAAAAGACUGUAAAUUUUAUUUUUUUAGGAUAAAUUUAAAGAAUUUUAAGUAUCACAGAAAUAUUGAGAUUUUUUUUUAAAAAAAAAAUCUUACCAUAUACAAUAUUAAUAUCAAGCAGUUGUUAUAAUCCUUUUUUUUAAAAAGAGUUCUUAUUAUAAUCCUUUUUCUUAAAAAGUUCUUAUAAUCCUUUUAAAAUAUGCAAAUUGAUUUCUAUAUAUUGUAAGAUUUACAUGAACAUUAUUCUUUAUUUAUUUUUCAAAUUUUGCAAUUGGUUUCUAUAUUUUUCAAUUUUUGCAUAAUAGUCACUAUAAAUUUUCAUAAAACUGCUAAUUGGGCCCUAUUUUUUAUAUUGGUCCUUCAAUUAUUUUAAAUUUUAAAUUUUACCUAAAUCUUUUAAAAUUCUCAAUUUAAAUUAUUUUUCUUUAUAUAUUUAUAUAUAAUUUAAUCUCAAAACAUUUAAAUGUUAUAAAAUAAAAUACAAAACAAAAUAUAAGAAUGGAUUUUUGUCUUUUUAAUCACGGUUGAAAUUCCGAGACAUUUUGUCUUCUUAAAAAAGAUUGAAAUUUUGUCUUCUUAAAAACACGAUUUAAAAUGAAAAAAUUAAGUUGAAGCAUUUGAAUUGUCUAGAAUUUUAAAUUCCGAGACAUUUUCAAAUUCAAUUGCCCAUCUAAACACAAUCCUGGUGCAUUCGAAAUUAUCUUAAAAAAUGUCUUAACUUUUUUAAUGAACCAAUUUCUUUAUUUUUGGGGAGAAUGAACCAAUUUAAUCUUAUCUUAAAAGAUAAUUUAAGAUUUUUGAUGAAUAAACAAUACUUUAAGCAAUUAAUAAAAAAUUUAAAAUUAAACUAAAUGGUUAAUUAUCAUUCAUAUGUAUAAUUUUAUAAACAUUUCUUUAAAAAUCAUUGAUAAUCGAAAGUUUGGAGGAGAACCGGAAGCAACAACAUACUAAUGAUUAAUACACCACAUCUCAAUUCAAAAUCAUAUCGGUGACCACUCUUAUCUACGGAAAGACUUUGUCAUCAUGAAUUCUAUUACUACUACACUUAGUUCUCAUUAUCAAAUGAGACCUUAAUGUUGAUUAACGAUCUCAAAGAAAUUUUUUGUUUGUAGGAAAAGGUCAAGAUCAUGGAAGAAACAAAGAUAAAACAAAUUAUAGAAAAAAGAGUUCUAAAUCCAAGAACUGAAAAACAACAAAAUGCUUUAGUUGCAAAAAGACCGGGUAAUUGAAGACGGAUUGUCCAAACAAACAACAUGGUUCAUCUAGUUUUGUAUUGGAUACAAAAAAUGGGAGAAUGACUAUUGUGCUUAUGCUAGAAGUUGUAAUGACGUUGUUUUUUUUUUUUGGUUAAUGUGUCUCGGAGAUAGGUUGAUUGUCGUUAAUCAUUUCAAGACGUAUAUGAACCAAAAAUUGUGUCGAAAAAAUUGUUUGGCAAGAAUAUCUUAGGUGUAAGGAGUUUUUUGGGAUGGACACUUGCAAGAGAUAAGAGUGGCAGACAAAUGUUUCAUUUAACAAAGUUAUAUUGAAAAUGUGUUGAUUAGACAAAUUUAACAUGAACAAUACUAAAGAUGUAAGUACUCUACCUAUCGACGAAUUAUUUUAAUAAGCUCUCAUAGAUCAAUGUUCAAUGACAAAUACAAUAAUUGAAUAUAGUUCAAAGCUAAAGCUAAGUAUAUAUAUGGACUUAAACACUAUACAUAUGGUCUUGUAAUCUGUGUCAUAAAUUUCAUAAUUAAUCAUUUUGUCUUGUCCUAAUACCGGUACUUGGAAGGUUGUGGAUCAUCAAUUUCAUAAUUAAUCACUUCGUCUUGUGCCAAGACUCGUGUUUCGAGGUUGUGGACCGCCAAUAUACAAUCAAGGGCACAACACCCUCCAGAAGGGACAAAACGGCCUUAGAUGCGCCCUCUUAAGAACGCCACUUCAAAGGACUUCUAGAAACAUUUAGAACGCUCAAAUCUGACUUAUGGCCCAAAUUGCUUGAGGCAUAAAUCACAAAAAUACAAGACAUAACUUCAACUGACUAAACCUUAAUUUUUAAUAUUGUACUCGGUGCAACUACAUAACCAUAGAAGACUAAUUCCUCAUCUCAAACAAUCAUUUGGGAGAGAAUAGUUUCCAAUCCACCUCGAAAUGUGUUCCAAAUGUAGUGAUACGAUAGGAAUAGGAUCUAAUCUUAUUCACGUAGAAACUAAACUACCCUCUCAUUUUGGACUAUUAUACAUAAAGUUGGGACCACUUGACAAUGGACACUCUUAUCUCUAUUCAUAUCUGCCUGAUUGCUGCACCUUUCGCCGGUGACGGAAAUAACCAAUAGUUUGCAAUGAAUUUAUCUGCCAGUCACCUUCUGACAACUGUCAUGUGAAUGUGGACCUAACUACUUUUGUCUUUAUUAUUCAUUAUCAUCUUAUAAUAAAGUGGUAAAAUAACAUUCACGUCAAAAAAUAAAAAACAUUCAUGGCAAAAGCAAACAAAGUUUGAGUAAAAAGGAUUGAUAGAUAGAUUGCAUAAAACAUGCAUUCGGUUCAUGCACCAGCAUUCAACCGUUAUCGAUCUUUACAAUCCAAAUCCUUACCUCUAUCUCAUGUGGUCCCUUCUUGUUCUCAACCGUUGAUCUUAAAUGCUUUCACCUUUGACCUUGCUAAUCAACGGUUUCACAAGAAACCCUUGCUAUUAGGAAUAACCCCACACAUCAUGGGCGGUCUCCAAAUGCUGAUAAUAAUAAAAACACAUCUCCAUCGUAAUUAUACUUCAUUGUAUAGAUAUUUUUACAUUUUCAUACAUUACAUUACAUAUAUUUUGUGCAAAAGACUAAUUCCUUAAGUUAGUGCCCCAAAUAGCAAAUUAUUUCCACUUGAGUUGCAACAUUGAUGUAUUUUUUAUAGUUAAAUUCAAAUUCGAGACUACUUAUAAUACUUAAAAGUAAAAUAGACAUAUAUAUCAAAUAUCGGUGGCAACUAUGAGUUAUAAAAAUGUGAAUGUUGAACAAUAUUAUAUAAAUGAGAUAACUCAUACCAUAUGUCUAAAUGUCUUAAGGUAUUAGGUGAAUAUGUCUGAUUUCUUUUAGUCUAAUAUAAAUGAUUUCUCCCUCCAUCAAAAAAAAAUAUCUAGCAGUGGUAUUAGAGUAUGGCUACUAAAGGGACUGACUUCUUGUCUGUCGAAGGUCUAAUUGACGGCGUAUGAUGUUCGGUUGAAUUCCUUUUUUAUUUUUAUUUUUUGAAAUAAUGUUCCGUUGAUAUGAUAAGUGUUUAUAGCGGUGCAAGUGUAUGUGGAUGAAAAAGCUUCUGUUUGAGGGGAAAGAUACUUAAAAGAAUAGAUAAAUUCACACUUGAGUGAGAGAUAUUUGGCGACAAAUGUGAGUUAAAAGUCUCACAUUUGAUGAAAAAGUGAAUGUUGAGCAGCAUAUAAUUUAGAUGACUCGUAUGUGUGCCAAAAAGGUUUUUGUUGAAGAUGUAAUUUCAAAUUCUCUUUACAUAUAAUUCCUGUUAGGCCUAUGUGAUGCUAUGUCAGACUAUCCCAGGGGCGGUUCUAAGGCCCGGCGACCCCGGGCACUCGCCCGGGCUCCGGGCCAAAUUUUUUGCAAUUUCUUGUGUAAAUCCCUAUGAAUUUCUUAUACAAACCCCUAUAAAUUGGGCAAUUUCUUUACAUUUUUUAUUAUUUGCUUGCAAUUUCUUAUAUACGCCCUAUAAAUGUGUUGCAAAAUUUUUUUUGCCCGGACUUUACAAUAUUCCUGGCUCCGACGCUGGACUUUCCUGAUGACCAAACAAUAUCAUACUAGCUAUUCACCGUUCAUGAAUUAUAUACUCUAUUUGUUUUACAUAAAAAUUCUAAAACGAGUAUCACUUUCAAUUUUCAAUGUGAUACUCCCAUUUUUCCAUAAUAAUUAUCAUUUUUACAAAAAAAGAAUGCCCCAAAAUAAUUGUUAUUUUUCAAUUUUCAUUGUAACAUUAAUUAUUUCUUUUUUUAAUAUAGGGUUAAAUAUGUUUUUGGUCUCUAUAAAUAUACCAACUUUUCGUUUUAGUCCCCCUAAAAUGUUUCUUCAACUUUUAGUCCCUGAAAAAUUUCUCAUCUUCCCUUUUGGUAUCUAUUUUAAAGUAAACUCAUGUAGAAUACAUAUUUUUGAAUAAAAUUUUGCAGAAAAAUUCAUAAUAUUAUAAUAAUCUCUCCAAAAAAAAAAAUAAGAAUUUUUUAACAAAUCAUGAAUUUAAUAUGAAUUUUUAUAUGUUUGACGGUUAAAAAUUCAUAAUUAAUUUAUGUUUUGUUAAAAAAAAUCUAAUUAUUUGGGGGAAUAUUUUUUACAAUAUUCUACACAUUUAUGCACAAUUUCAUUAAAAAAUACAAAAAUUAACUUAAAAAUAGGGACCAAAAGUAGUGAUUGAAAAUUUUAUAAGGACUGAAAGUUGAAGGAAAAUUUUAGAGGCACUAAAAAGAAAAGUUGGUAUAUUUAUAGGGACCAAAAAUAUAUUUAACCCUUAAAUAUAUCAUCUACUAAUAUCAUGUGCAUCAAUCUCAAGCUAUUAUUUUUCAACUAUUCUCAUUGUUAAUAAUAAGAAUCAACUAACAGUAAUAAAGUUAAUUUGGUAUAUUGUUAUUCUCUUUUCUUAAUUUAUAAUUUCUUAGUUUGUGUUUACUAAAAAAAAUAUUAGUUUGUUUUUUUUUUAAAAAAAAACUCAAUAUUUGAUCCGAGAACGGACUAAUUUGAGGGGACUCAUCUCACCGUCCACUUGCAGGGGACCAUUUAAAGAGCAAAGCUUUGGAUAGACUUGUCCACUAAAAUUGGCUUGAAGGAAUCGAUUCUGAGACUUUGAGAGAAACAUACUCCAAGAUCAUAAGUCAACCCUAAAUGGUUUCUUAGUUUGUGUUAAAUGGCGACGAUUUUUUUUUUGAGAGAGACAUAUUAACAAUUUUCUUUUUGUUGAGCCCUUUAAUUAACAAUGUGUAUAUCGCUUUCAACUUUCAAGUCAAUAUUGUUCACAGUACAUUGAAGUAAAAGUGAAUACACCGAAUAAUUGAUCUGGUGAAUCACUCCAAAGUUGCUAUAAAAAGGGCUUCCAUUACCCUGCUAGAAAUGCUGCAGUAGGUGUUGGUACAUUACAGGGAUAAUAUAAACCUGAAGUACUUUCUGCACUCUGCAAUAUCUCAACACUAUUUUAUUCUACUGCAAAUUCUACUUUCACACCUCCCACCUCUUCCCAUACUCUGCCACUUUCACUUUUACACCUCCCCAUUACUCCUGCAGCCUCUAUUUUUCUGCACUUUCUUUCUUCCUUCCAUUACUCCUUGUCUUCUCUCUCAAAACAUUCAUGGAUGAAGACAUACUGAAAAAUUUGGGAAAUGUUGAAAGCAACAUGGACAUGAUGACAAUGAUGAUGCAAAUGGAAAAAUUCUCUGAUUCAUAUGAACCUUUUUAUAGCAACACUCUCAAUCUCAAUCUCACCAACAAUGAUUUCCCUUAUGGAAACUCAAAUGUAACUUCAUCACUCACACCUUCAUUGAUCAAUCCACCAUUGUCUUAUCCUCUUCAACAACCAAUGACACCACCGUUGCUUCAACCCAACAGAGUUCAAACUCAAAUCCCAUCAGGGAGAAACAACAAUUCUUCACUCUCCUAUCCGGAGAAGAAGAAUUCAAUGUCAGCAAUGAGAGAAAUGAUAUUCCGUAUGGCGGUUAUGCAACCGAUUAACAUAGACCCAGAAACCAUAAAACCACCAAAGAGAAAGAAUGUGAAGAUUUCAAAGGAUCCACAAAGUGUAGCAGCAAGACAUAGAAGAGAAAGAAUUAGUGAAAGAAUAAGGAUAUUACAAAGAUUAGUACCUGGUGGAACAAAAAUGGACACUGCUUCUAUGUUAGAUGAAGCAAUACAUUAUGUGAAGUUUUUGAAGAAACAAGUUCAAACGUUGGAACAAGUUGGGGCAAAUAGACCUUUGAAUGUUGUUGGGUUUCCAGGAGUGGUUUCUAAUGCUAAUUUUAGUUAUUCUUCUUUGAUUAGAGGUUGUUCCCAACCUUGUCAAAUGGUGGGUCCCACUUCCAAACAAAUGCUUAGUUGACACUUGACAAGAGAUUGAGAGAAAUUUAAAGGAAAAUGUUACAUAGAUAUCCUUUAUUCCUAUACACACUUGUACAUCCCAUACAUUAGUGAGAGAGAAGAGGAGAUGAAAGAGAAAGUGUGCUUCUGUGAGGUCCAUGUGACCAUGUGUUAGAUUUUUGCGUGGGUGUUAAAGGGUGUAUUGUCACCUAUGGUUGUGUAUGUAUCAUUACUCAAAUUUAAAUUUGGUUCUUGAUAUUUUGAAUUAUUAAAAUCUUAUUCAUCAAAAAUAUCAACGAAAUAAAAUUAUUCUUUUUUUAAAUUUUUAUCAUUCAGAAUUGAGAACGUUUGAUUAUUGUUUACGAUAAUAACUUAAAAAAAAUACAAUAAUUUUUAUAAAUAAUGAAAUGAUUUUUUUUUUCUUAUAAAAUGAUGUUCUAUAAAAUAUAAAUAUUGACAAAUAGCUAUUUAUUACAUAAAAAAAGAUAGUUUAUUUAUAAAAUUAUGAAGGAAGAGUACCGGUACACCUCAUUUUAUGAGUGUACCGUAGAAGUUCCCUAUAUUGUUAUUGUUUGGAUUUUUUUUCAUUUUCCAAAAGAUUGAUUGAAUAAGAUAAUGGAUGAAUUUGUGUUCUUGUUCUCCCAUGUUUCUAGUUAUAUACCUUUAUUUUAGCUUAGGACAUAUAUCUAAUUAAUGUCAUAUAAGUGUUUGAAUAAUUAAUAAUAAUUUUUUUUAAUGAUAUAUUAUAAACUCGUACAGGUUCAAUGAUAUACUCCCUCCAUUUCUUUAUUUAAGCAUCAUUUUAUUAGAUGCAAAUGGUACGGAGGGGGUAUAAAACUUUGGCCGAUCUAGUAGACUUGUAGUACCUAUGUUGUUUUUUGUCUCCUAAAUGUCCAUCAGCCUUUGGUCAACAUGUGCACCCAAAAGAAAAGUCAAUAUUAUUUUGAGUAAAUUUUCUUCAUUAAUUAUUUGAAGUGGUAGACCUUAAUUUCCAUGUUUUAUAAAUUUGUUGGCUAAUUACAUAAAUAACCAUACGUAUUUUGAUCGACUUGUGCAUAUAUAUAUAUAUAUAUAUGGUUUGCUAGGAUGCACCGCUAGUUUUUAUUAAAGUGUAUUUUAGCAAAAAUAUAACUAAAAAGUGGUUAAAUACACCUUAAGGUGAAUGUUGUUAAAACACACCUUUUAAAAAAUAAGUGGGUGUAUGUUAGCAACUCCUAUAGACAUUUGCUAGGAUAUACCCACUUAUUUUUUAGAAGGUGUGUUUUAGCAAGUUAUAAUUAAAAAAUAGUUAAAUACACUUUACGGUAUGGCUUGCUAAAACACUCUCACAUAAAAAAUAGUAGGUGUGUUCUAGCAAAUCUAUAUAUAUAUAUAUAUAUAUAUAUAUAUAUAUAUGUUAAUUCGCACUUUUAUCGUGAUUUUUUUAUAAAAUAACAUAAAUUAAAAUGGUAUAUAAAGGAUGAUAUUAAGAUCGUUUAUACAUGUGUCAAAUUAUAUUAUAGUAUAACUAGAAGACAAGCCAAGGGAUCACUAAUUCUAAAAAAUACCAAAACCUCUCUACCCUCAAUGCAACCAAACAAAGACAAGUCAAUCUUUGUCCAAAUUUAGGAAACGGAUAUCCUUCCAAAUGGAAGUUUUUGGCACUGAAAUCUCAUCCACUCGUUAGUUUAUAUCUUAUGCGGUCACAAUCGUUUAAAAAGAAUUGUUAUGUAAAUUAAGUAAAUUUGGGUUUUGGACAAUUCAGAUUUUAGUUGGUUGAUGAAUGGAUAUUUAAUAUGUUACGGAUUUGAACCUGUUACUUUUCAUAUUUCAGUUCUUAGUGUAUGAGUUUUGUUUUUAGGCUCUUUUGAAUCAAAAAUAUCAUUGAAAUUGAAUGGUGAGGAUUUUUAUUAGAAUGUUCAGGUGCAAUUCUCUUGAGAGAAUCUCAUCUUUAAAUUUAUGAUUUUUGUAUUGUGAUUUGCCCUAUGUAAUGACAUUUAUAUGUGGAAAAAAAAAAUUGAACAAAUAUACGUGGAAAACUUACAUUGAAGGCGACGAUUUUCAUUGGAAUAUCCCGGUGAAAUUCUCUCGAGAAUCUCAUCCCCAAAUUUAUGAUUUUUGUAUUGUGAUCUACUCUAUGUAACGACAUUUAUAAGUGGAAAACUUACAUUGGAUGGCGAGGAUUUUCAUUGAAAUGUCUCGGUUAAAUUCUCUUGAGAGAAUCUCAUCCCCAAAUUUAUGAUUUUUGUAUUGUGAUUUACUCUAUGUAAUGAGUGGAAAACUUACAUUGAAUUGUGAGGAUUUUCAUUGGAAUAUCGCGGCGAAAUUCUCUCAAGAGAAUCUCAUCUCAAAUUUAUGAUUUUUGUAUUGUGAUUUACUCCAAGUAAUGACAUGUAUAUGUGGAAAACUUACAUUCAUAACACAAUUUUGAAUUUUAUUAUAAUAAAAGGAAGGCAAACACAUUUCUGUUUAUUUUGUUAUCUACUUUUCAUCAUCACUAUAAAAUAAAAUACAGUGCAAAAAUAUGUAAAUUUUAAUACGUAAAUAUUUUUAUUUAUUUAAUGCAUCUUAAAAACAAAUAUUCAAAAUGAAUCGCGUAUAUAAAACAUUGCAUUUAUGUAACCAAAACAAAAAACAUUGCAUUUGCACGAGUGGUACUGAACUGGUCACACUUUGAAUACAUCCCCUUUUAAUCAUAACAAUUUUGUGCCACAAAGUAACAUGACCAUAUAUAGCAGCGAAUGUUGUCUAUAUAUCUUUUGACGCAUAGUGAAUUGAGGAUAAGUCAUAUUUGGAUAGAAAAUUGUGAUUUUAAAGUGAGUUUACCAGAGAAAAUUAAGAUGAGUGAUCAUGUGCAUUUUAUACGUAAUUGCUAUAGCAAAAACAGUGUAUAUUUUCUCCACAUUUAUAAUUACAGGAAGAAAAAAGUACGGGUAUAUGAACCAUUCUAAAUACUUGGUACGUACUAGUGUAUAAUGUUCUUUCAUUAACUAAACAAUUGAGUUUAAGUGGUUAAGGAACUCUUCCUAACGAAAAAUUGUUCAGAAGAAAUUGAUCUCAAUCUCUAAUGAAAUAAUUCAUCAUCUAGUUAACUUACAUCUCGACGGAACUCUAGAUUAUCAUAACUUUUUGACUUACAUCCAGAUGGAACUCUAGAUUACCAAAAUAACUAGAGGGUUGCAAAAAACUAUAUAUAAUGCUCCUCCACUCAAAAUUUGAGCAUGAGGUUACGAAAACGAGUGGACAAAUCUUGGGGAGAGCUUUUCAUAUGAUCGAUGAUUGACAACAUGCAAAUUUCAAAUUUGUUGGCCAUGUUGUGCCAGUAGCACAGUGUGAGGCACAAAUUUAGACGGAAGGUUGAGGUAUAAUAGUGCAAGUCAGACAUAUACCAAUUGGAUUAUAAGAAACCGGCAACUAGUAGAUUACGAUGCAUCAUUUCCCUCUCAAUGGAAUCCUGUAGGCAUUAGAAUGUGAAUUCGAGAUGACGAAGGUCGAUUUUUUUGUUAGAAGCAUUGUGGAUCACACCAUUGUGUUCAGUGGAAGUUGGGGAAGUUUUAGGUCUUUUACAUACUAUUAAUUGGAUUCAAGAUUUUUAAUUUGAUAAUGUGGACUUCGAGUUUGAUUUAAAGGAGGUUGUUGAUUGCUUUAACAUAGGAAGCAAUGAUGUAACGGAAUUUGGUGUGGUUGUAUAUGAAUGUAAACAUUGUGACUAUUUAUUUUUUGAAGACUCUUAUGUUGAGUUUAAUUAGAAACAAACAAAUGAGGCCGUUCAUUUUUAGCAAAGGUAAUCACAUCUUUAACUAGCUCCAAUAUUUUCAUUCAUGUGCCAUCAUGUAUUAUUUGAAAAUGAGUAAAAUGCUAUAAGUAUAUUUUCCUAAAAAAAAAUUAAUUUUUGACAUAUUUAAAUGUAUUUUUAUGUAAAUGGUCACGUAAAGUCAAGAUUUUUAAAGAAGGAUUUUAAAAGAUGAGUUUUUAAAUAGAACUUAGUUCAUAUACUUAUUACCUCGUAAGGCUAUUCAAAGAUAUAUUUGAUUAAGGAAUGUUAGUAACACUCUCUUUUGAGCACUCUCUCUAUCACUCACUCCUUUAUUGGGUAAAAUCAAUAUAUGUCCCACCACUUUAUGGGUUCCAGUUCCAAAGUGUUGAUCUUACAUUGAUUUCACCCACUAAAAGAGUGAGUGCUAGAUAGAGUGCUUAAAAGAGAGUGUUGCUAGCACUCCUCAUAUUUGAUUACUUAUUUAAAAACUUUAACAUGGAAUAAAGUUUUAAGCAUGUAACAAAUCAUAUUAAUGUUUCAGAUAGCUGUUCCGGACCCAUCUGGUGGAUACACAGUUCGAGGUGCAUAUAGUUUGUUAAUCUCGCAGGUACCUCAGGUCGUAGACUAUGCUCUGGAUUUGGUGUGGCACAAACAGGUUUCCUUGAAGGUUUCCGUUUUCGCAUGGAGGCUCAUUCGUGAUUGUUUACCGACAAGGACAAAUUUGAUUUCUAGACGGGUGUUGUCGCCUGACAUGUCCUCGUAUGUUGCUGGUUGUGGUCAUCCCGAAUCGGCACAACAUCUUUUUUUAUUGUGUGAUACUUUUGAUUCUCUAUGGCAUUUGGUGCGAGAUUGUAUUGGUUGCUAUGGGGUGGACGCCGAUAAUAUUUUCGAUCAUUUUUUACAGUUCACUCAUUUGACAGGUGGUGGUGCUGCUAAACGUUCUUUUAUGCAACUAAUAUGGCUUCUAUGUGUCUGGGUUGUUUGGAAUGAACGAAAUAACCGUCUGUUUAAUCAUGUUGUUACCCCCAUCCCUUGUUUACUUUAUAAGGUUAAGUUGUUGUCUUUAGGUUGGUUGAAAGCUAAAAAAGCUACUUUUGUUUUUGGAACUCAGCAGUGGUGGUCAAACCCUCUUGUUUGUUUGGGUAUUGGCUAAUGUUUUUCAGUUGUGUCUUGUUUGUGUAAUCGUUGUAACUCUUGGUUUCUGAGGUAGUCUCUAAGGCACACCUUGUACGUUUGGGACUGCCCUAUUUCGUAUAUAAUUCCAUUUUGGCUUGUUCAAAAAAAAAAACAAAUCAUAUUAAACUUUUGAAAUAUCAAACGUAUAUCUAAUAAUAAGUUUAUGACAUAUAUUAAGUUAGACUUUAACUGAAAUUUCUUUACGAAAUCGGACUUAGUUCUUGCAAAGUUUAAGUUUUUCCGAUCUAUUUCUACUUAGAUAUUAGUGUUGAUGUUCAAAAUAUAUGCUAUAAUGUUAAUUCAUAAAAAAACUAUAUGUUACAAACUAUUAAUGUUUCACAUCUAUCUUGCAGUCACCCACUCCCAUACUUUUCAAGCUGGUCUUUUGGAAGAAAAUAAAUGCGUCGGUGGCUGAGGGUAGAAAAAGUAGGUUGCCUCCCGUGGCAAGGUCGAAUAAUUUUGUUGUUCAUGUCUCAAGGAUCAUACCUUAGAAAUGUUCCAUUUUUUUCUUACACUAUGUGAUCAAUAUAUCUAAGACUAUUUUUUUCAUACUUUAAUGCUAGUAUAUUAUUUGCUUCAAAACAAAAUCUAGUAUAUUAAUAUUAAAAGAAAAGGCAAGGUGAGAUGAAUAUGGAGGAAGAGGGUUCUAGCGAAUUUGGCCCAUGUGAAAAAGGGUCCCAAUAUACCCAAUAAGAUUAGAUUUUUAAUUAUUAUAUUUUUGGGAGGAAAAAAAAGUAAACAACCAAGAGGACUCUGCACUUUGCAUAUGCGUUAAUACGCUAUCUCUUCACUUUGCAAUCUUUUUUUCUAUAUUUGGUACAUUGCAUUGUAUCCUCCUCUCUGACACAUUGAUCCUCCUAUAUCAUAUUCUUAUUUUUCCACUUCAUUGCCAUUUAUAUUUGACAAGGUUGAUCUCUUUGAACUCAGUUGCAAGUUUGACAUUAUUAUAGCGAGUAUGUUAGAAAUAUAAUCAUAUACCGUAAAUUUACUGAAAUUACAAAGUGUCACUUUAAUAUUUAACACGGUUGAUUAUCGUAAUUCUGAUAUAUACAUCCUAAUACUUAACAUAGACUUAGUAUAAAUAUAUAAACUUAAAAUUAAUUUUUUAUUAACGAAUUGUGCAGCAAAAAUAGAAGUAUAACUCAUUUUGUUGGAAUCAAAAGUUUAAACUUAAAAGAAAAAAAAACAUAAAAAUAAAUAAAUCUUAGACGUGUUAUAUGUAGCGAGGAAUGGAUUCGUGAAUAUUAUCAUGAACGCAUAAAUGUCAAUAUUCAUCCAGAACUCUCUCCUUCCACACUAUAUAGUUUUCACAUCUCAGAAUUUCACCCUUAAAAUAAUAAUAAUAAAAUCAUACUCCCAUCCGGUCACAUUUAUAAACAAAAUACUACUUUUUAAGUUCAUUGGUUAUUUAAUGUAUUUGGUCUAUAAUGUAUAUACCAAAUACAUUAAGUAUUCAAUAAACCUAAAAAUUGUUUUUUUUGCUUAUAAAUGUGACCGGAGGGAGUAUGUUGUAUAGCUGGAAAAAUUUGACACACAUGCUUAUAAUUAAAAAUUGAGACUACUAGAUUAAUAGAAUGUUCAAAUGUAAAUCAUUUUUAGACUCUGGUGACGUAAAGUAACUUAAUGACAAAAUUAUCAAAUUAUGCUCUUUUUACUAAUUUCAAUGGCUAAAUUUGAAAACAUAAAGUGAACUACCUAACAUAAGGUGUGUCAAAGAGUUUAGUAACAAUUAAAAGUACAACAACAGAACUUAAAUUCUGAAAAAUAGGGCUACGUGGUGUUACCCAUACACAACAACGAAAUUCUAGGAAAAACAGUGAAGCAAACUUAUGGAAUGAAGCAUAUACCUCCAAAUGUUGCUCUUGCUGGAAGAUGUUAAAGCUCUUCUAAAUCUUCCACAAUGUAAGUUUUUGAAAGAGACUUUAGGUUUAGGAAAUCAAUUAAACAAAUGAAUUGCACUUUUUUUUUGUUUAUAACCGAAAUGACAGUAGUUAUUAAAAAUUUACGAAAUGAGUUGCAAGUCUAUAUGUAGCUUAAUUAUGUCCAUAACAUAAUUAUUUGGACAUGUAGACACCAUCUACUCCUCAACUCACUUAUUAUAAGCUCUGAUUAAAUUGGAGAGAAAAAAUAAAAUAUAAAAUGCUAUUCUCUGAUUAAUGGAUAAAUAAAUAUCAUAAUAUGCAUUUAGCGGGUAAUUAACACUUUUUAUUCAUAAAUAAAAAAUAAAAACGUGGGAAAAAUAUAACAUUUUACUUCUGAAAUAUACUUCCAAAUUAUUGUUAGGGGUGAUAAAAGAAGGUUUCGUCCUCUUCCUAUAUAUACAAUUGAAUAUAGCCUUUAAAAAUAAAAACAAGACAUUUUCACCCUCUAAAUUUUUGUUGUUUCAUUUUUAGUCUUUAAUGGUUAUAAUUUUAACAUAUAAUAUGAACAUACAUGGGUUUGAUAUACUAGAUGAACAUAAUUUAGACACAUCUUAAUCAUAAAAGAAUCAUAACUUUGACAUAUAUAUGAACUUAAACUAGUCAUAAGGGACCAAGAAGAACAAAAAAAAAAAAAAAAUUGAAAACAUCGCUUUUUUACCGUUAGAGACUAAAAUCAAAAUUCACAAUAUUUAUAAAAUUUAUUUAAUCCUAUAUAGUUUACUUGCAUACAAGCCUACAAUUUGGCCAAAUGACAAUUUCAUAAAAAUUGUUGUAUACACAUCUAAUAGGACUGAAAAAUUUAUGUAAAAUACGAAAAUGCCCUUCGAUAGUUAACUGCAGCCGGUUCCAUCGGCAGUUAACUGUCGAGGAAAGAAAUUAUGCAGACAGUGAGUUUUGCAUAAUUAAGCCAAGCCAUUUUUUACCUAUAAUUCAGCCAGAGCAUUUCCAAAGGCAAUACUAGUCGUACAACAUUUAUCCUCAGUCAUAAACAAGAAAAAUACAUUAUCUUUUACCGUUAUCCAUAAUUAAAUCAAUCCGACAUUUCAUUAAAAUUGCAAGAAUGUUUGAAAUUCAUCAUAACAUUAAAGAGUGUCCAUAAUUAAACAACACAUUACAUAUCAUUAAAUUAAAUCUCUACUGACAUUCUACGCAGUUGCAGAUGGAACAAAAAUACAUAUAUAAUAUAUUAUCUUCCAUCAUAUUCCGAACAUAAAUUCGACGUCGCCAUCGUCGUGAAGAAAUAGUGAGUAGGGGGAGCAUGUGGUUGUUUCAUCUAAAGAAACAGCGCCUCGACACUUAAUUGCCGAGGAAUUCAAAAAAUCGGCUGCAGUUAACUGCCGAAGUUUCCAUCGGCAGUUUAUUGCCGAAAAAUACUGAAAACGGCCGCAGCGAACUAUCCAAGGGUAUUUUCGUCUUUUAUAGGUAUUUUUCAGCCUUAUAACAUGUGUAUACAGCAAUUUUCCAAUUUCAUUGUAAAAGGCCCACUAUCUUCGUAGGGAAGUACAAUUCAAAAUGGGGAAAAUUGCUAUUCUAACUUCAAAAAUUACUAUUUGACAUCUUGAAAAUAUCAAAAUACACCCAAUGACAGUUGUUGCUCGAUUUUUUUUUUUUUUGGUACAAAGUUGUCGCUCGAUUUUAAUAAGGUUUAAUUGUCGCUCACUAAAUGAACCAAAGACAGUUAAUUACCGCUCUUUUAAUGGCUAACGACACUUAAGACUUAAGUGCCGUUGAUACUUGCCAAUUUUUUUCAGUUUGUUCUGAUCUUCUUUCACUUGAAAGCAAGAAUAGCAUGCACUCACACUCUCACUUGCUCACAUUGCGUCACGUCUUAAUUUACUCACACUUCUUUAAGUAGGAAAAACAUGAACAAAUAUUUAUACGUUGAAAAAGGAGAAAGAACUACUUUCCAUUAGGGAAAGGUAGAUAAAAGCUCUUCAAGUUCAAGGCAAACUACCACAGAUUCACUUAUCCAUGGUACUUGCUUUGCGAUUUCAGUAUACCUCUUGAAUUUUCAGAUUUUAAAGGCCUAACUGGUUUAAUUCGUUCAUCAUACAAUUAAUUUACUCACCAAUUGAAAAAAAAAACUAAUUAAUGGUUAAAGGCCUUCCAUCACUUUAAGAACUCCAACAUGAUACUAAAUUCCAACAAAAAAAAACCACCAUGAACAUAAACAUUGAGCAAAACUUCUAAUCAUAGAAUCCAACCCUGUCCUGUUAAUAAUAAGAAUAGACAAUAAACAAAGAUAGACAUGGCUUGAUCACUUGACCCAACAUAACGAGAAAAGGAUCUAUGCUUUGCUACCUACAAAUAAUAAAUCCAAAACUAAAAAUUUGGCAGGUAACAACGGCACUUAAGUGUUGUUGACUAAAUAAAAAAUUUCUAACAAAAGUUAGCGAGCAACAAUUAAUUACCGUUGGAAACAAAGGGCGAUUAAUUACUGCUGCAGGUAUUUUGCUAUUUUCGGAGUGUUAAAUAUAACAAUUUUUGAAGUUAAAAGAGCAAAAUCCCAAAACGGGUUUACAUGUCUUGAACUUUGAAUUCUGCUCAUUAUCCAAACAGUAUCGCUCAUUUUCAAUGUAAAUGUCCAAAAUGUCCCUGCGCAUGUGAUAAGUGCUCAAAAGUAACAUAUUUCAUGUGUUAACCUAGGCAAUUUAGUGACUUGUUUUGCAAGUUAUCUAAGGAAAAUCUACCAUUUGAGUGUAUUUUUUACCAUUUAUGCUUUACAUGUCUGAUUCUACCCAAUUUAUACAGAAAAUGACAAGCAAGGACCAAAAGAAGGAAGCUCUUGAACCAAGGUCACUUCGCUUAAGCGAACAAGUUCCAGAGAGCACCAGAAUGCUUCACUUACUAGCACGCUUCCAGUUCCCUCAUGAAGAAAGGCUAGUUCGACCUCAGGUUCGCUUAAGCGAACAAGUUCGAGAGAGCUCCAGUAAAGUUCGCUCACAAGUUCGCUUACAGUUCGCUUGAGCGAGGUUCAUUAAACUUCAGAAGAUAAGGACCACGUGGCAACUCCUCAAUGGACAAUGGAAGAUUCCCUGGAUGUUUGCUUAAGCGAACGAUUGCUUCGCUUAAGCGAACGAGCACGAAUAUGACCCAUAUAAAUAGUUUUCUCUUCUCUUUCCAUUAUUAUUCUUUUAUUGUCUUUUACAUUUUUCUAGUUUUUAGAGAGAGACUAGGGCUUUUCUAGAGAGAGAAACACAAAGAAAUGUAGUUAUGAGUAGAUUCAAGCCAAGAUUUGUUGUGACAACAUGGAUCUUGUCAAGGAAUCUUCAUAUUUUCUUCAUCCUUUGCAAAGCUAUCAUAGACAUAUGUAGCUAUAUCUACUCUUGUGGUUUUGAGGUAUUCAAACAAGCUAUUAUGUAAUAUUUUGAUCAUUUAAUAUAUAUUUCUAGCUAUUUAUUCAAUAUUGUUGUUAUUCUUGUCUUUAUUGUUUUAUUGAGACUCAAAAUGAUAUGGACAUGUACUUUUGAAUCUAGAAAUAGAAUAACAAUCUAUCUUAAGUUAUCACUCUAGACAUGGAUGUUAAUAUUUGAUAAUCACUUUUAAUCUAGAACUUAAUGCUUUUUGGUAAUUUAAUCGGUUGGGGAAAUCGUCGAUUAAACUAUCCAAUCGACUUUGUGAUCGUUUAAAUGUUUGGGAAAUCGAUGUUUAAAUGAUCUCUUAGAAAUAACGAUAUCAUUUGGACACGAAUGAUAUUGUCGAGUGAUUGUGAUAAUAUCGUUUAAAAAGCUAGAAUCCGUUAAUCAAUCAAGAGAUUGCAGCUGUUACGCAUGGUUGAUGUCUCUGACAGCAAGCGAAAUGACCCUAUCUCUUCUCGUUUUACUUUUAUGUCGAAUAGGAAAAUAGUUUUACAUAAACAAACAAUUUAUACCCAAACACUUAAUGUGACAAAUAUUGUGAAAAUGCUUAUGCAAUACGCAACUCCCUACGAAAAUGAUCCUAUUAUACUCACGUGUAAAUAGUUUUAUGACAUGUAAAAAUCUUACAUCAGCAUGUUAACAUGCGCUAGUGUAUUUUUUUUACCUAAGUUAAGUCACGUAGGGUGACUUAACUUGCACUAGUGUAUUCUGAGCGUGAGUUAACUUGCGCUAGUGUAUUCUGAGCGUGAGUUAACUCACGCCAGUUGGCCGGUGCAGAACUGAAAAACAAACGUUUUUUUAUCUGUGGUCAGUUUUUCAACAUUUAAUCCACACAUUUUAACACUAUUUUACACGUUUUUUUAUCACAUUAAUGAUGUUUACAACCUAUACUGUCAUUCCCACCUAUAAAUACCCCUCCAUACUUCCCUAAUUCCUCACACCAUAUCACUUUCUCCCCCUCCUCACUCUCUCCUUCUAUUUCUCUUCUUUCUUUCUUUUUCAAUAUACUCUUUGGGGAAAAAAGUGAUCAAUCUUCGUCGGGGUAAAAUAGUGAGAAGCCGACAUGGAGAAGUGAUCGACCCUUGGGAUAAGUUUAAAUUUGCUUUUUUUUACUCCAUAAAUUUUUUACCGUGGAUAAAAAGAUUCUUCUCGGGGUAUAAAAAAAAUCAAAUUUAAAUUUAGCCCAAGGGUUGAUGAUGUAUUUUCCCCAUGAAGGCUGCUCACUAUUUUACUCCAUGAAGAUUGAUCACUUUUUACCCCAAAGGGAGAAUAUAAGUAUAAUAUAUUAGUGAAUUCGAAUAAAUUAUUGUAUCAAUAAUUGUAUUGUAUGAAUUCUAUUAAUAAAAUGAGAUAUUGUUAUAUGAAUCAAUUUUGUUCAUUCCUUUUUAUUUUAUAUUUGCUUUUAUUUUCUAAUUUCGUAUUUAAUGAAUAAAUAUUAAUUUAGUUCAUUUACUUUUAUUUAUAUUUGUAUUUAUUUAAUGAAUAAUAUCGAAUCAAUAUUUAUUUUAAGUGCAUAAAUAAUUUAGGAUAAAGUAAAUAAACUAAUUUAGAAUAAGGUAAAUAAACUAAUUUAGAAAAAAGUUAAUAAAUAAAAUUAGAAUAAAGAUAAUAAAAUAAUUUAGAAUAAAGUUAAUAAAAUAAUUUAGAAUAAAGGACUAAAUGUACCAAAAAAUAAGAAUAAAGGCCUAAUUGAAAAUUAUUUAGUGCAUAGGUUUCAUAUGCACUAUAUUCAGUCAAAAAAUAGUAAAAAAACAAUAUCAAAAGAUACAAUCGAAAGACAUAGUUUUUUUUUUUUUUUUUCCUUCUUAUAAGCAGCAUUAUAUUUUAGCUCUAAAUUUGUAUCUUAUGUGUUCAAUUAUACUCCCUCCGGUCUCAAAUGUAAAAAACUUUUCAUUUUGUAGGUUCAUUCAAUAAAUGAUGUAUGUAGUUUAUAAUAUGGAUUAAAUGAAUCUAAAAUGUGAAAAGUUGUUUACAUAUGAGACCAGAGGAAGUAUCGAUUAAUUCUUUAAGCCGAAUAGAGUUGCAAUUGGUAAAAAAUCUCUUUAUAUUUAACAUUAUUGCUUUCUCAAAGUUCCUUUUUUUUAACAAGCAUUCUCAAAGUUUGAUUAACUCAGUUUUAUUUCAUAGACAAAUAUUAGCACUAUGAUGUUAGUGUUCGGGAAUCAACAAAACCUCCUCUUUCAAACUCCUUUAGUGUCCCUUAGUUCACUAAUCAAACUACCAACGAGGGAUCAAACUCGGUGUUAUUUGAACAUCAGAAAAUAAAUAGACAAUAUUCAAUGCAAAUUUUGAGAGAGGGAAAAUAAAUAAAUAAAAAGUUGAUACAUUUAUAAGAAUAAAAAACAUCUUUAAUCUUUUAAUCAAUUUUUAUUUAUAUUAGUUUUGUUGGUUUCCAAUAGUUUGAAUUUUUUUACUUAGAUUUUAACUUGUUUUCUAGAAUGCACAGUGAGUCGUGAGUUUAUUUUGAGUUUUGAAAUACCGGAUAUUUUUAUUUUUGGAAAAGCCACAUUACUUACUCUUAAUUUUUUUUUUUUUUUAAAAUCUCCGUGAAUUUAACUCAAUUGUUAGGGACAAUGUAUAAUAUAUGUAAGGUUCAGAAUUCAAACCUCAGACACCCAAAAAAAAAAGAGUGAUGGUAAAGACUUUUAAAAUUAGGAGAUUUUUUUAUAUAACUUUUAAAUGAAAGUUGUAAAAUGAGUAUUUUGAUAAAUUUUAAGGUGGGCAUGAUUAAACUAACAUUUUCAUUGUAAAAAAAAAAUUAUACUAUUAUUUUUUCAAUCAUAUGUGUUCUCGCACGCCUAUUUUUUUCAAAGAUACUAUUUACAUAAUUUGAACUCAUAUAUAAGGAUUUUCGAAUUAUACAAUCUAUAACAUAUUGAAACCCAUAAAUGAUGGUGAACUAUUUGUGUGACAUUGUGGUGGGAAUAUCAUAUAUGACAUUGUCCAACAAUGAUGUGACAUGUGGUUUUCUCAUUUUAAAAUAAAAUUAAAAAACCUUGUAAAAGAGAGAGAAGAAAUUAUGUGUCACAUUGUGGUUGGAUAAUGUCAUACUCAUGUGACAUUCCCAUCAUAGUUUUAAAACUCGGCUCGGUCAUCGACUCGGCAGGGGCACUGGGUUAUUGGGUUAAUGGUCGAACCACUGAGUCAAUGGUCGAACCGUAUGACUGAACCGGAUCAAACCGAAUAACUCGGUUAGAUGACUCGGCCUUAAGAUUAAAUUUUUAUAUGUAUUGAACCAGAUUAAAUCGGAUUGAAUGAAUGACUCAGACACUUAAAAACUAAAUAAAUGACAUCUAAUAUGUAUAUUAAUAUAUGUUAAAGCUAUAUUUUUUUUAAAAGUAUAUAUUUUGUUAGCAGAAAAUAUAUUUUAUUUUGCAUAUCCAUUAAUAUUAAUAUAAUUUGUAGAUUUUCUAAAAAAAAUUAUAUGUAUAUUAUUUUAUUUUUUCUAGUGGAGAGAUGAUAAUAUAAAUAUUAUUAUUAUUAUUGUGUAAAUUUUAUAUUUAAAAAAUGAUGUGCUCGUUUUGAAAGUAAAAAAAAAAAACUAUGUGUUCUUUGCUUAGAAAAAAUGAAGAAGCAAUAUGUUUACAUAUAUAAUCAAUUUCAUUAAAUAUCACAAAAAAGUAGUUGCAAGUUCGAUUCCCAUAACUUCUAUAGUUUUUUUCAAAUAUUCUGAUUUUUUUCUUCAAAUAUUAAAAGUCAAAGCACGCAUUUACUAUAGCUAAUUGGCGUUAAUUGGUAUUAAUUAGCAUUAAACGUGCUUAAAUGAAUUAAUUAUGAGGUUUAACGUAAAAGCCUAAAAAAAAAAAUAAGAGGAACCGGUCCGACCAACUACUCGGCCGAGUCACCGGUUUUGACCGGUUCUCGCCGAGCUAAUUACAUGGCCGAUCCAAAGGCCAGCUCGAACCGGCCUACCCACCGGUUCACGGUUCGACCGGUCCAACCGGCCGGUUCGAGCCGAGUUUCAAAACUAUGAUUCCCACCACAAAAAAUGCAAAACAAGUUUGAUGACACUAUUGGUAUCAUAACCCAAAACUAAAAGAAAUAAAAUUUUCAAAGUAAUGAAAUAUGAAGAAUAAAUGAAAAUGUUGAAGAUGCAAAACUAUUAAAAUUAGAUUAGAUAUUUUAAGUUGUGCAUUCCAAUGAUUUCUUGUAAUUAUGGGUACUUAAGUCUUUUGAUGACACUUUUAGGGUCCCUUUUGCCUUUAAAUUGACUUGUAAUCUUUACAUUUAAAACCACCACUUGUUGAUUGUAAACACCUGGCAUAAUCUUGUUCUUUUCACUUUAAUAAAGUUUUAUUUCUUGUUCGCCUUUGAUUGUUCUCCUAUCUCUUGAUUAUGUUGAUGGGGGACCUUUGAUGAAGACCAUUGGAGAAGCAUAAAGUGUGGCCACCAAUCAUCAUUAACGAGGCAUUAAAAGAAAUAGCAACUCAACAAAGGUUUCAUCGGGUAGAUUUAUUUUUCAUGGUGUCAUGAAUUCGAAUCUCAGAUCUUACAUAUAUCAUGUAUUGUCCUUACUCAAGGUCGGCCUAAAGCAAGAGCAUCCAGGCCCAUAACUCAGGGCCUCCAAAUUUUGGAGGCCCAAAUAUUUUUUCUUUAUGCAUAUAUGGCCUUAAAAUGUUACAUAUAUUUAUUUAGCGCAUAAAAUUUUCAGAAUCGUUAAGAUGGUCUGGUGGUUGAAAGAUGUGUGCGUGGGCUUCUGAUUCUCGGUUUGACUCCUAGAAAUUACUUUUUUAUUAUUAUGUUUUAAUUUUUUUUUCAACAUAAAAAAACCAAGUGUUAAACCAGCAAUAAAACUGUUACCAAAAAAACCAGCAAUAAAACUUAACUGCAUAAGUGUGCCUGCCGCCUCUGUACCUUCACGUUCCAAAAAGCAAAUUUUUGAUCAAAAAUUCACGGAAGCAUAAUUUUAAUUUUUUGAUGUUAUUGAUUAAAACAUAACUCUGUUAUUUACAUGGAAUAGUCUUUUUGAUAUUAUAUUUUUGGUACAAUAGUCUUUUUGAUAUUAUUUAUAUUAUUUACAACUUUAUAAUGUUAUUUGCAAUUAAAAUAAAUGAUAAUGUUUUUGAAUUUUUGGUGCGUUUUUUUUAUUGAAGGGGCCAAUUUUUAAGAUUGCAUCGAGGCCUCCGGAUUGUUUAAGACGGCCCUGUCCUUACUAACCAAGUUAAGUUUACAGGAACUUUCAUCGAGUAGAUGAUAUGACACCCUAAAAUUCAAACACGGUAAAAUAAUAUUUAUACUAGUUAUGAAUAAAAUAUGCAGCGAUUUCAAAUAGAAUAUUUCUAAAUAACUUUCUCAUUGGCUUAUAAUGCCACAUUCAACACAUUACAACUCUAACUCACUUGAAAAUAUAUUGGACUUAGAAACAAACAAAUCAAUUUCAGACUUAGAAACAAAUUGCUUUUAUUCUCAAAGUUAAAACUACAAAAGUAGUUUUCAAAACUCAUGAAAAUACAUUGAAUAACUUUCCAUCCGGGGUAUCACUUAUCAGUGUAUGAGUCUGCGAAUGUUAGGCUUUCAAAAGCGUCAAACACAAACAAGGAAUAAUGAGUAAUCAAAUCAUGUUAAAGUAAAGUAUAUAUAAAACAAACAUACCACGUAUUCACAUAGACAUGACAUGAUGCAUCAUAAAAAUACAUUUAAAAGAUAUGUUCGUCAAUAAAAAGAGUCACAUAUUCACAUAUAAACCAUUCACAUUGCACAUACAAUAUCUCAUACUCACAAUUUCACAUAAUUACAACAUAUGAUUUGCAUUACACAUAUUAUAACACAUGAUCACAAUUUAACAUAUAUUCAUAAAAUUAUCUUACUUAAAAUAUCAUGAAAACUUAAAAUAAACCACAAUUUACUUCGACACACAUUCAAUUAAGUCAUAGUUACUACACAUUUAAUUUUGACUAAAAUGACGCCACCCGUGAUUUUUCUCCUCAUGUAUAGAACUAAACCAAGAUGGAAACACUUCUAAAACAACAAGAAGCUUUUUUAUAUUUUGUAUAAAAAGAAGAAGAAGAGAGGCUUGUUUUUUUUAGGGGAAAAAGAGGCUUGUUUAUAUUUAUAUUUAACGUGUGAUAAUGUUUGAAAACUCGUUGCAAGAGGAAAUAUUAAAAUAUAUUUCCCGCGUGGAACACGAGGGGCAAAGAGUAACACGUACACUGUAACUCAACUAUUCUUGAUUUUUUUUUCAACUGUUAUUGAUUUUAUUUCUAUAAAAUAAUUCAAAAUAAUUUUUUUUGUCAAAUUCAAAGUAAUAUUCUUUUCUGGUUGGUACAAAUUCAAAGUAAUAUUUUGUUUUUUGUCGAGUAGUCUAGUGACUAUAACUCACACGUUUUAAAUAUAAAAAAAAUGAGGUAUAUGAGGUUCGAACCUUAACCCUUACAUAUAUUAUACAAUGUCACUCACGGAGACCAAUUCAAAGUAAUAUUCUAACCAUGUUAAACAGUGGCGUGGGGAGAGGGGGUCCUUUGGAGGCCAUGUUCCCCUCUAUAUUUUUAUAUUUUUUUUACGUACUACAAUUAAAUUAAAUUAGAAUGUUUCAUAAUAUAUUAGGUUAUGGUUCCCCCAAUUAAUCUAAUUAAAAUGUUCACCAUGUCAUUAGAUUAAUUGACAACUAAUAUCAUUAGUUAUGUAUGUUAUAUCCUUUUAAAUUAUUUCAUAUGGCCAUUUUCACAAAAUAUUUUAAAUGGAAUGAAACACAAUGAUAUAGCUUUGCAAAAUAAAAGACUAUUUUAAAGGAAAAAAUGAGCAAAUUAAAGCCUAAAAUAAAAAUAGGGGAUUAAAAUAUAAUUUAGUCUUUAGUGAAUUUUAUUCUCCUGUGACAAAAAUUUCAUGUCUUUCACAUUCGUACAAAAGUUCUUCUAUUAAGUCAAUUGCCGUUCUCAUUUUGUAUUAACUCUUCGAUUCUCAAGAUAAAGUGGUUAUGGUGAUUCAUAGUUGGGCAGAGAGGUAACUAAAGUUUGAAAAAAAAACUGUUCUACUCAAAAAUCAAACUCAGGUUAUCCUGAAUAAUUUGUCAUUUACGAAACACACAUUUAACUAAAUAUUAUUUUUUCUAUUUUUAUACAAAGGUGUUUUUGUUUUCUCUUCCUACUUAAUGUUAUUUUUUUCUACUAUUAAGUCAAUACUUGUAUGAUAACUAUACUUAACCAUUAAUGUCUCUCAAACUGAAUAUAGUUAUAAAUUUCUUUAAAAAACAAGAAAAUAUUAGUUUAGGUCUUUAGGGUUUCUUAUAUAUCUUUUGCAUUUAAAAAAUAUUUUUUAAUCAAAUUAUGUUCCUUGUUCGCUAAAAAAAAUUGUUCCCGGCUCUGUCCCUGGCGUUAAAUAACCACAUCAUUCUUUUAUAGGGAUGGCAAUUUGACUCAGAUCCGAUGGGCACCCGCAAAAAAUACCCACAAUGGGUAGGGUAAAACCCCGCUUUCAUGGGUAUGGGCACGGGUAGGGUUAUUACCCGUAAAUUUUAAUGGGUAUGGACACGGGUAAGGGUACUAUACUACUCAGCCCCGCAACCCGCAUGUACAUAUUUAUAUAAUAUAAUAAAUACUUUAUUUAUUUUUGGUGUACAAUUAUUUAAUUUAUUUAGCUAUUUAAGUCUAAACCUAAACCUAAAAUCUAAGCAAUUUAAGUUUAAACCUAAAUACUACAAUUAUUUGAAUGUUUUUAUUUUAAUUUUUUAGGGAUAUUUUGAAUGUUUUUUUAUUUGGCUAAAUAUUACGAUUCGUACUAUUUUAUUAGAUGAUUUAAAUAAUUUUGGAUCAUAGUUUUAUUUCAAUUGUAAUGUUUUAUAUUGUCUUUUCAUAGAGAAAGUGCGGGUAAUGGGUGCGGGGGUAUGGGCACUUAAGUGCCCAUAGGGUAUGGGGAAGAGCACUAAAGUUGUUGCCCACUCGGGUACGGACUCGGGUGCGAACAUUUUUUACAAAUGAGGGUAUGGGGAUGGGUACUAUAGUACCCUAUCCAUUGGGUAUCCAUUGCCAUCCUUAUAAUCUUUUACUUGAUUUAUUUAUAUAAUUUUUUCGGGAGUAUUAAUUAAUUAUUUCAUCUCUACUAAUUAAUUGCUUAGUUUUGAUAUAUAAUUUUACUUGGAGAAAAUGGAACAUCCAUAAUCAAUGUAAAUCAAUUGGAUGAGAUGAUAAAAAAUAAAAAUAAAAACACUUUCAACUUAAUCAGAGUAUCCAAAUUCAAAUACACUUCUUAGAAUACAAUAAUGUUACUUGACUAUAAGGAUUAAUCAUUGCAGUUGCAUACAAAAGAUAUCAAAUUCACACAAAAAAAAUGCUUCUUUUAUUUAGGUUCGGUCCCAGUUGUUGUAAUCUCUUUUUCUAUUAAUAAAAUUUAUGACUUUUAUCAACAAAAAAAAUAUAUAUAAAUGUAUAAUAUAACAUAUUUUUAAGAUAUUUUUCAUCUCAGACAAUUAAAACGAGAGUCACAUACCAUCCCUUACUCAAAAGACUUGUUUAGCUUGUUGUUGUUCAUACUUGAAACGAUUUUGUGUUGACAACCAGUCCAUUCAUCGCACCGUAGAUAUUUAAUUUGUAAUAUUUUUUAGGUUUGAAGUUGGAUCCAGUUAUGUUGUUUUAAAUUUUUGUAUUACACAUUUGGUUUGUCUUACACUUAUAUAUGGAUUUACUAGGCUAGGUUUUACCACCUCCUCCCCCAACCCACCCACACACAUGAGCAAUGGACAAAGAAUUAGAGUCUGGACCAACCUAGUUGAGACAUUUUAUAUUUUCUUUAAUUUCAUUAUGCUCGUAAUUUAGUGAGAAAGAAAAUCGAUGUGAUCAUUUAGUUAACUAACUUAAUUUUUAGAUUUUCAGAUCAAGUUGCUCAUUUGAUUCAUAAAUCAAAUUCAACAAGUUAAUUUUUUAGUCGAGUUCUGAACUAUGUUCGAGUUAACUCGGUUGAUCCUGGGGCCUAAUUUUGACAAUCAUGUUUUCAGUAUUUUUUUUAUAUGCAUUGCAAAAAAACACCAAUAUAAUUAUUGAUAAUUUCGCACGUUUUAGACAAAUUUAUCACUAUCAACAACUUUUUUUAAUACCAUAAAUUGUUUUAUAGGUUCCUAUAAUAAAAUACGGGUCCAGUAUAUUUUUGGAUGCAAGAUUGAGUAUGUAUUAGUUUAUUGGCUAGAUUCACACACAUUAUAAAUAGAGAAGUAAAUGAUAUAUGAGAUUUGAACCUCAACCUCUACCUAUAAUGUUUUUGAUAGCUACCAACCCAGCUACAGUUAAAAGACGAGUAUGUAUUUUUUCAUGGUGCAUAAAGAAUUUUUCGGUAAUGAAGGGGACGUUUUUAAUUCAAAUGGUAAGGGCAAUUUUAAUCAGCCAAUAAUUGGAAGAUUUAAUGUGGCAGCUGGCAAAAUACUCCAUCCGGUUUCAAAUGUAAGCAAUUUUUCAAUUUUUAGGUUCAUUCACUAAAUGAUGUAUGUGGUCUAUAAUAUGGACCACAUACAUAAUUUAUUGAAUGAAUAUAAAAAGUAAAAGUUGUUUACAUUUGAGACCGGAGGGAAUACAUAACUAAUGAUAUUUUAAUUAGAUUAAUUGGGGGAACCCUAAUUCAAGGACAUCUUUGUUGGGCCAUGAUGAGUGACGACUCACGAUGGCUCUGUUCGAUAAAAAUAGCGGAUAGCUUAUAAGCUAACUGAUAGCUUAUAGCUGAUAGUUGAUGACUGAUAGCUUAUAGUUGAUAAGCUAGUUGAAGUGUUUGAUAAAAUUAGCGGUUCAACUUACUUAUAAAUGUAGAAUGACAUAAAAGGACAUUCUUAUUUCAUAUUAAAAUUUAUAUUCAUUAAUAUUUAAGUAUUUAUAAUUUAUUAAUUUAAUAUAUUUUUUAUGAAUUAUCUUUAGAAAAAUAUAAAGAGUAUCUACUGAGAAAACAAAAUAUUAAGAGUAAAAGAUUUGGACGUAAAAAAAAAAAGUAUGGAAAUAAAAUAUAACGAGUUUAGUGAAUUUAAGUGUAGUAAAAGUAUUAAAAAAAUGUGAUUAUUGUAACUAGUGUUUUAAAUUAUUUAGACAAAAAAAAUAUAGACGUGAAAUGAUAUAUGAAAAACAAUUUAAGGCCAACACCUUUAAUAAAAAUAAUGUAAGCCUAACCAAAAGAAUUUAAACGUCACUAAUUUUUUGUUGCCCUUUUUAUGAAAAAUUAUAACGCAAUUCAUGAAUUUUUUUAUUUAAACGGAAGGCAAUGAUCAUUUUUGUUUAUGAAAUAUAUAUAUAUAUAUUAUGAUGUAGGUAUUUUGCAGUUGCAUAAAAACAUAAUUAUAUCUAUUAUUACAACAAAGGAAGGUAAUGGAUAUUUAUAAGGUAAUUAUAUCAAUUAGUUAAAUUAUAAUAAAUUAUAAAGGAUAAAAAUGGAUUUUAGAUAAAAUAUUAAGGUUAAAAAUAGAAGAAAUUUUGAGAAGUUAUAAGCUAUAAGCUUAAAUGCUACUUGAAAUAACUUAUGAAAAAUAGUUUAUAAACCCGUGAAAUAAACUAUAAGCUCAUGAUGAAAAAGCGUCAUCAAACAGAGUUUUUUUGUCGAACGAAUUUAUAAACUAUAAGCUAUAAAUUUAUUGAGGUGUCUUACCAAAGAGACCCAUAAGUACUACAACGUUGAUUUUUUUUUCUUCCCAAUUUGGAAAAGCACAAUUUAAUGAUGGACCCACAUGUGUCACGAGCUUUGAUCCCUUUUGUUCACACUUCACAGUUGACACCAUGGUGAAUGAGAAGCAAGUGGGCAAUAGUAACAAGCAGAGUUCUUACAUCAUGCAUGGGGAUAGUAAAUUAAAAAGGUUCAUUAAUUCAGUUUAUCUUGAUUCUCGUUCAUAUUUUAGAGAAUUAAGGAGAAAAGAUCUUCUCCAUUUAUUUGAAACAAAUGGAUAAUGUUGUUUGGUGAGAGAUAAACAUAUAAAAAUAUAUAAUGGGUAUGUAAUUUUUGUGUGAUACAAUUUAUAUGUUUUCAAACUCUAACCGUCACUCUUUUCUUCUUCUUCUUCUUUUUAGAGGGGUGAUUUAUGGUCAAUUUUGACCCAAAAAUCACCCCUCUGAAUUAUUUUUCCUUCUAUUCUAAUUGAAUAAGUGAUUUUACAUAUUUUCUAUUUUCUUUCGUUUGUUUUUGUGAUUUCGUCGUCUCUAGACGACUCUGUUUGUUUUGAUUUACCGUUUUUGUGCGGUGUGUUUUUGAUUUCCCGUCUUAGUGCGAUGUUUAUUUGAUUCAGGUUGAAAGAUUAGCUUUGAGCAAGUGCAGAUCCGAUCAAUGACAAUGACUUUGGCGUCAUCAUUGUUGCAGAUCCGGAGAAAUGAGUAUUCCGAAGACAUGAAUAUAAUCAUAUUAGUCAUAUUUGUAGGCAUAUGUAUUUUGCUGUUUUAUGCUAUUAACAUGGAUGAUGUGAGUUUGUUCACAGAUUCAUCCUUUUUGUUUUUAGCGAAUUUGAAUUUGUAUUGUAUCGAUAUACUCUAUCAAUUUGAAUGAAUGAAUAUCGUUUACUUUUAUCAAAAAAUAAAUAAAUAAUAUACAAUGGGUCUUACCAUUUAGUGUAUCAUGAUGUUGUUAAUUAUUUAUAUAUUUUUUCAAACUUUAUUAUGUUUUUAUCUCUUCAAAUGAAAGAAAUAAAAAGGACAUCAAACGGAGAUGAUCCUAACUAAGAAUCAAGUGGACAAUAGUGACAAGGCGAGCUCUUACAUCAUUCACAAGGCCUCGAUAAAUUCAUUAGUAAAAUAUAAAGUCUUUAUAUAGGUCCACUAACAUGUAAUUUAAUACUAUGUGCAUUUAGAAAAUAAAUACAAAGAAAUUGAAAAAAAGCAAGAAUCAAAUGAAUUUGAUAUGUCUGAGACCAACUUUUUUCUAAUUUUUUUCUAUUUUAAUCGUGAGACACGUUAGUUGCUGAAAAGAAUCCUUAUAUAAUUGACGAUAGCUAAUAGAUAUUCAUUUUUUCUUUGUUCAAUGGAAGUCGUUUAUAGAUUGAUGUCGUUGUUAAAUAAAUAACUCUUCAUUGAAAAUGCUCUUAGAAGCUUGGUUAGGUAUCGAUACUUCGUAGGAAAAAUCCACUAAAAAUUUUAUUUAAUUUUUAAAUAAUUAAUUUAAAAAUAUGACAUGACAUUGCAUAAUUAAAUGACGAGAACAUACUCAACUAAACUUUAACGAUAUGAGUGUUUCAUUGUGGUUGGACAAUGUCAAACAUUCACACCAUAAUGUCACACAAGUGGGAUUUGAGUGUGUAUUCACCUGCUAAUAAAAGAAGAAAUGGAGCUCAACCAAACUAUUUUAGAGGUGAGUCUCGGUUCGAGGUCUCCAGGACCCAUAGCGUUACAAUCUGCAUGUAAUUUUUGUUCUUAACUACCUAAAAUAGAUUCAUCAUCAAUCAGAUGUUUUUUUCUUCGCUUUUUCUUCUUUACAUAUAAUAUAUGUAAGAUUCGGGGUUCAAAAUCCCGAAAAAAAAUAGUGAAAAACUAUGUGAAUGAAGAAGAGUUAUUCCUAAUCAACCAAUUUUGGCACAACGCCAUGAUGACUUAUCAACCAAUUUUGGCAGCAAUAUACUUGGUUGGUGGUGACGUUUCUUCAAAACCAAAUCUUAUAGUCACCCUCUCAUACUCUGACUGCAUCAAGAAAAGAACAUAAAUCAAGAGGACCAAUUUGAAAAUGUACUUGAUAUUUAUCAUUGCGGUAGUAUUUCACUAUGUGCAUUUAGAAAAUAAAUACAAAAAAUUGAAAAAAGCAAGAAUCAAAUGAAUUUGAUAUGUUGAGACCAACUUUUUUCUAAUUUUUUUCUAUUUUAAUCGUGAGACAUGUUAGUUGAUGAAAAGAAUCCUUAUAUAAUUGACGAUAGCUAAUAGAUAUUCAUUUUUCUUUGUUCAAUGGAAGUCGUUUAUAGAUUGAUAUUGUUGUUAAAUAAAUAACUCUUCAUUAAAGAUGCUCUUGUACUGAAUGAUAUGAUACAAUCAUGCAGCAAUGGUAGUUUCUAGCACAUGGUAGUUAGAAUAAGUACAACCCUAAAAAUAGAAGAAGGUGUGGCUGAAAUUUCUUACAACUGAGGACCGCAACGUGCAAUAAUAAAAUAUACUAAAAUUGUAACGUGCUUUGGCCUUCAUGAAAAGCGACAUGCAAUCAAUUAUUAUAGAAAAGAAAUUAUGCAAAUUAGAGAAAUGAUAUUAUACAACUUUUGGAUAACUCUUUUAUUCUUGUUGUGUUUAUAUUUUCUUUCUGUGUCGAUUUGAAUUUUGUGUUAAUAUCUUCUUUUCUUUUUUUUUAUCUUUUUUUGUGUGCAUUUUUUUAUUUCUUUAAUUAUUUUAUAAUUUGUUCCAAAAAAAAUAGUUGAAAUAAUAUACCUCCACAUACUACUAGCAUACUCAACUUUAAAAUAUCUUACCAACGUCUGGUAGGCUGCUACUGUUUUCUUAUUGCAUAUAUCAAAUUAUCAAUCAUCAAAGAUUGAUCUUGUCUAAUCUCUCCAAUAAUUUGAAUUAAAUAAACAAAAUGAUAGUUCAACAUCGACCACAACUCAUAAAGAAUCAUAACUAUAAUUGAUUGAUGAAAUAUAAUAUGGGAAAUGCUAACCGGUGCCUCCGGGGCACUAGUUAAAGAUAUGAAAAAGAAAAUUAUAUAAUAAUUAAUGCAUUGAAAUUGUGUAAUUAAUUUAUAAUAAAGUCAAAAACAAUUUUCUUUUAUGGUAAUAAUUCAUUUUUAUGGUAUGCUUAACCAGUGCCCUAGGGGCACCGGUUAGCAUGAACCAUAUAAUAUUUAUACAACUAUUUUAUCAUAACUUUGUUUCUCAUACUCACAUUAUAUUUUAACGUUUCUUUUUAUAUUGUUUUGAUUUUCGUUUUAAUAUAUAUUUUCCUUUGUAAAUCUAUACCGUUGUCUCGUCAUAUAAAUAAUUGUUUAAAUAACAGAACACUUUAUUAAGACUACAUGCGAUUCACGCUGUACCAAUCACAUGUGGAAAAAGUUGUAUUUUCUUCUUUUUCUAUUCUCUAAAAAGGAUUAAAAAAACCUUUCUUUAAGGAAGGACAAAACCCUUCUUGAUACCCACAAAUCUCUAAUAUUUUGUGGGGGUUUCCUGUAUUAAGUAUUAGAAACUAGCAUCGAUGGAUUCCUAAUUAAUUUAAAAUAGAAGAUUGCGUAUCCAUUGUCAAGUAAACAACUGUGACAAAUUAAAAUAACAUAUAGAGUGCGUUUGAUUUGUUAAAAAAUGAAGGACGGGAGAAUAACUUUAGUUGUCCAGUGUUUGAUUUGUAAAACUGCUUCAGGUACAGGACAAACUGGAGGCAUGGGACAGGACAAAAACUUAUUUUUUUGUCCCUCACCAAACCACAACACAACUUUUUGUCCCACGUACAAGUUGUCCAAAAUACCAAAAAUAGCAUUUUGUCCCUCAAAAAUCGUAUAAAACAAAAAAUUACUCAAUGCCAUAAAAAAUUUGUCUUGUGCUGUACUGCCUUGUGUUGUACUGUUCUAUCUUAUAUUGUUCUGUCCAGUACUUGCUGUUUUGUAAAUCAAACACACCCAUAAAGAUUGAGCCUAUAGGAAGAAAAUAAACUUUCACAAUAUCUUGCAUCAAAUUUCUAAGUCUUGAAAGAUUUAUUCACAUUAAAUAUUCUACCAAAGGAAUGAGUAAUUUAUUUGGUUGAACUGAGGAAUUAAAAAUGUUAAAAGCUUAGGUUCAAAGUCUAACAAAGAAGAAAAAUACUAAUAUAAACAAAUCUAACAUUUGUUUUUGAAAAAAAAAUCUAUCAUGUCUUGAAUUAAAUAAACUUAGGGAAAUAUUAAUCGGUGUCCUGGAGUGCCUAACCCCGACAUUGGGACACUGGUUAAGGAUACUAAAAAGGAAAUUAUAUAGUAAUUAAUGUAUUGAAAUUGUAUAAUUAAUUUAUAAAAUAUAAAAACAGUUUUUUUUUAUUUUUUUUUUUAUGAUAAUAAAUUUAUUUUUUGGUAUUCUUAACCGGUGUAUGACCCAUAGAGUUAAAGGAAUUACUUUAUGAGAAAAUGAAAAAAAUGUGACAAAAUAUACUCGUAUUAAUUAACUAGUUACAACAAAAAUAAACGUGUCUCUACAGCUAUAUAUAUACUUAACUAUAAUCAAGAGUCAAGACACUCUCAACCAUAGGCUAAAAGCAGUAUAUCAUUCUUUCUCUCCUCUUCAUUAAUUAUUGUGCUAUUAGCUACCUUUAGCCAUGGCAUCUACUUGCGAUAAGGGUUUUGCUGAUAGUUAUAUGAUUUUGAAUCCAGAAGAUGCUCAUUUCUUUGAUAUUAUUCGUAUUUUAUUUUCCCGGAACAUAGGGCAUAGAAAAUUUGUGGAUAGUAAUGCUGAAGGAGAUGUCGAGGGAAGCUUUAGAGGUAGAUGGCUUAUAUUUAUCUCUAUUGUUCUCCAGAAAGUCUUGUUGUUCAUUGCUAAACCACUUGCCAUGAUUGGUUAUUGGGUUGAGAUGUUGAUUAACCUCAUUGCUCUUAAUGGAGGCAUCACCAUGAUUAUAAUUAACUUUCUCUCAGGUUCGAUCUCUUAAUUUAGUUAAUUUAUAUAUAUAUAUAUAUAUAUAUAUAUAUAUAUAUAUAUAUAUAUAUAUAUAUAUAUAUAUAUAUAUAUAUAUAAUGGUAAAUCUGACUAGCUAGAUGAAUAUUUGAUUGCUUUUAUAAGCUAAGACAUAUUUCAACCGUAGUAAAUUAGAUCUCAAUGUUGUUGUGAGCUGAGUUCAGUUGGUAUAUGCAUGAUAUGAGAUUCAAACCCCGAUCACCACACAAAAAAUCAGAUCUCAAUCCCAAGCAGGCAAUUUGAGUCUUUUUGGUGUCUGGUUUGGCCUGUUUCCAUGCUUGUAUUGGUCUUUUUUCCUUAGUUCUUGAGUGGUUCUUCUUACCUCCUUGUACUGGUCAGAUCUUUUGGUGUUUCCUAUUGGUCUCCCUAUUCCCUAUCUUUUUACUAAUGAUAUUUCAAUAACCAUUUAAUAAUAAUUUUUGAGCCGAUAUUCUUUUUCCUUUUGAAGUUAAAAUGGUAUAGAUAGAAAGAAAGUUACUUUAAUUGUUUCUCCUUCAUUUUUUUUUUU